UAGUGAACCCAGAGAGCCUGGGGCAGCGACAUAUGAGAAGUCAUUCAGGACACUCUCUCUGAUGCCAUGGGGCAACAUAUACCUUUAAAGGGCAGGAAAGAAGGAGACCUGCCACCACUAGUAUGGGAUCCAACUGGGCUGGCCUGCUGCAAGAGAACAGAUCCUGUGGACCAGAGAAGAGCUGGCCUGGAACAGGCUCUCCUAGACCAACCAGCCUGCCAAUCACCAAAUAUAUGAGUGAAGCCACCCAGACCAUCUAGACCCAGCUGAGCCAGCCCAGACCAGAAAAACUACGAUGCCAGCAGACCAGCCUCAGAAGAAAUAGUUAAAUGAAGCUAAACUCAACCGAGCUCAGGUGAGAAGUAGACGGAUUAGCCUUUAUAUCUUAAAAGUCUAGAUCAUCCUCAGCUUCAGCGCCCCCAGGGCCGCCAGGACUAGGAGAUGUUUGCUGUCUCAGGAGGGAAGGAGCCAGCUCUUCUGAAUGAAACAGCACUUCGCACAGCCGCAGUGGCCUACGGUGGGAGAGCGAGCAGCGACAGUCGAAAGACCCUGUGCAUCAUCCAUUCUUAAAUUGACUGACGCUUGUACAGUUGUAAACCGAAACUCCAGAGGCAAACCUUGAGCGGUUACAUUUUCUCAAAAAGAAUGUUUCCCAGCCCUGUCAAUCAUUUCCUGCUUUCGGUCCCUCCCCAACACACACACACACACACACACACACACACACACACACACACCUUUUGGCGGACCGCUGCAUUGACAUUGAGUCUCUCUCCCUACCUGAAGUGGAACACCCCAUAAAGCAGCGAGGUUGGCAUUUCAUUCAU